AGAUGGAGCAGCGAUCUUUGUUUUGAUUGUGUAAUUCUGCUAAGCGAAUUCUGCUGGUGCCUUCAACCCUCAUGCUCUCGUUUUCUGAAGCUUGUUGCUAUAAGAUAUUGUCACUCCCAUUUUUAUUAUUGACCGCUUCUCUUUCAUAUGACGUCACACUGCUGUUGGCACACUUUCUCUUAUCUGAAAAUUCUGUGUUUUCUUAAAAGAUAAAGAAUACAACAUCAGAAAUCGAAAUUAUCAAGUCUGUGUCGUCUGCAUUGGGUGUAAAGAGUAUGCUGAGUAGGGUAAGGCUAAUUUUCCAGAAACGGCCAUUGUUAAUGAACAUGGUCUCAUUUGGGACUAUGUAUGUGGGGGCCGAAGUAGCUCAACAGACUAUACUGGUUUAUACAUCCCCCCAGAAGAAUUCCAUAGAUUGGGGAAGCGUGGGGCGAUAUGCAGUGGUUGGAAUAGUCGGCAUAGGACCGGCACUUUUUUAUUGGUAUCGUAUACUGGACAGGUUGUUGCCAGGAUCCGCAGCAAAAACUGUAGUAAAAAAAGUUCUAUCGGAUCAACUCAUAAGCUCCACUAGUUGUCUUGUGAUAUUUUUUACUGGAAUGGGAAUUUUGGAAGGUAGGGAAGACAUCUUUGCAGAACUCAGGGCGAAAUUCUGGUCCACGUACAGGAUGAGUUGCUGCUUCUGGCUUCCGGCUCAAGCUAUCAACUUCGCUUUUCUCCCCCCGUACACCCGUGUGGCUUUCGUGGGGGUCGCCUCCUUCGUCUGGGUCAACGUCCUCUGCCUCGUCAAAAGACAAGAGGUGCGGUCUCUGACCACGAAACUUUGAUGCUGUUACAUCAUCUAACCCAUUUAAAGCUCACCUGAGCCAUAAAUAUUAACUGUAACCAACUACUCAGAUGGAAAAUUAUCGCUGUUUCUGAGAGUUUAUGGAUGAAUCAUCUGAGGUAAAGUCUGAAGAGAAGAGAUGAAUACUGAAAAAAAGAAGAUGGACAUAAGAAGAAAUAUUUAUAUCCAGUAAAUACCAUUUCGUUGCGUACAGAACUCUGGUCUACAGAGCUUUUUGUAAGAUCUAGGAAGGUGUAAAUAAUCAGUUUGACUUUGAACAAUACCGUAUUUUUCAUAUUUGGGAAGAGCGUGAGAACUUGAUGUUACACGUAUUUAAAGUAUCUAGAUUGGUGAUAUUUUAUGUGAUUAUUUCAUAAAGUUUAUUCACUAAUCGUAAGUGUCGAUUUGCUUAUUUGCAUCUAUCAUGCUAACACUGAGUACUCAUAGAGAUUUUUUAAAACCCAUUCUGGAAAUUUCCUCCUCUCACUCAUGUUUGAUUGACAUUAGAUAAUCCAUUGUGUUUCUUCCUUUUUUUAGGAUCUUUUCCUACUAACAUUUUUUUCAUUAGCCUUGCGCCUCUAUAAGGGUCGGACGUGGUGGCCAUGACGGACAGUUAUAACCAUGCUUUUUCUGGAAUUCGAAGUCAGGAUUACUAACCACUUUACUGGCUGUGCGACUUAGUAGUAAUAUUAUUGACAUGAAAAUUGAAAGCAAUGUUAACAUAAUUUUUUCUUAAAAACCAACUUUUUGGUCAAAUAUAUAUCGAAAUAUUAUUAGUUCCAAACUGAAACAUUUUCACUACUAUCUCCAAACACUUUUGUCCUUGUAGUUGCAGUAAUGACGCAAAAAAAUUCAAACUUCAUUUGUUUUAUGUUUCUGAAGUAUAUGAUUAUUUAGGAUCACGCAGAUCGACCUUUAGUUUCAGUUAGUAACGCCAUAAUUAAAAUGAUAUUCUUUCCACUACCCGAGUUCGAUUCUUGGCAAAUGGGCUGGCUGCGGGAUUUUCCCCAUGUGUGUUUCCCAUCAGCCACUUCCCUUAAAACGUUCUCCACGAAUUUAUUCCUUCCCUUAGGCAAAUAGCCGUCCCUCGUGUGCUUUUCAAUAUUCAAAUAACCUAACAUAACCUAACCUGAAUAUAGAUGCUUUUGUGAAAAUCCGAGCUAAGUUACCUUUCUCAAAAGAAUUUUAUAAGGAAUUCGUCGCGUGUUUUAAAAUAUGUCCAAAAAAAAAAAAAAAAAAAAAAAAAAA
rnacentral:misc_RNA from 1 species